GGGGUGCGCAAUAGACUUACCUCCAUGUGGUGCACCCUGGGUAACGUAUACUCAUACGGCGAAAAGGUCUAU
rnacentral:ribozyme from 1 species